rnacentral:lncRNA from 1 species
AAAUGGAAGAAAGUCAGUGGCAUUUUUUAAAAGAAUUCAUUUGAAAUUCAAAUUUUUAAAAAGUCACUUAUACUCGGCCCAAAACCAUACCCAUUUUACCCCCAAACCAUAACCCCUUUCUACCACAAAUUUCCCUCAUUUUGAUCUUAGAAAUGGAAGAUCUGUGGCGCCGAUUUCAUUCCAUCUUCAGCUCUCAUAUAUGAAACGCCUUCGAAGAUCAUGGAAUCAAUGUUGUCGAAAUACUCGAUCUUCCAUUUCUGAGAGAGCCGACUGCUUUUUGUUGAUUCGUAGCCACUUCCACACAUCAUCUCCAAUCGAAUCUGGAAAAAAAUUCAGGUAUAUAUUUAUAUAUAUUAUGUGAAAAUCAACUAGAUUGAGUGACGAAGAUUGCAUAUGUAUACAUACUAACUAUAAUUCAGUCACAAAUACUGCAGCUUUGAGGAUGAAAUUGUAGGAGAUUUUGGUGUAGCCUGUAGCUAUGGUUUCAAAAUUUUAUUUUCGUUUUCGUUUUAAAUCCGUGGUCUGAAGAGAAUCUGCACCCAAUUAUAGAUUUGUUCAUGUUAUUGCAAUUCCUUUUUGGUUCAAUAAUCUUUUAUCAAUUGUGCAAUUGACGUGUUUCUCAAAAAUUCGUUGGUUAUGGAUAAGUUUUUAAAGUGCAUUUGUGAAACUUGGAAAAUAGCGGUGUGUGGAAAUUCAUAUUGUUCUUGUUGCUUCUGUUGUUAUACUUCCUCAUUUUUGCUUCACUUUUGGUAUCUUUUGGAUAUUGCAUUAUGCAAAUUCAGUAAGGCAUAUAAGGGAUGGUGGUUAGCUGUCUCGAUUGAUAAUAAAAUCUGUGUUUUUCCUGGUUUCCAGUAUCUUCUGAGUUGUGCUAUUUCUAGUAUUUAAAAACCUUAGAACCCAGGGAUGAUUUUUCAAGAUUUCAAUGCACAGGAGAAGGGAGUGCCUCGCAAUGAUUUGUCUUGCAUUUUCUAAACACGAUGCUGGUUAACUGAUGAACAAGACAUGGAGAUUGCUACGAACAUGACUAUACGCAAACGAGGAGAGCAUGUCACCAAAUGGGAGAAGAAUGGGCUGAAGCGUUUUCAUUUGAGUGGAAUUGUAAUUUCAAUUAUGUAAAUAUAUGGAUUUGUCACUGAUCUCGGGUAUUGUGGCUGCUAGGAUCUUAGAUUUUUUAUUCAAUGAUCUGAAUUUCUUACGAUCGUGUUUGCAUUUUGCUUAUUUAUUUGGGAUGUUUGUUUCUUUGUUUUGUAAAACAUAUCCAAUUAUGACAUGUCUCUUAAGGAGUAUCGGAAAGUUCUCGACAUAAUUGAAGAGAAACAAGUUAAACAAUUUUGUUCAUUACUAUGUGUUCCUAUCCAAAUUGUGCUUGAGGCUUAUAGCAACCUCCAGUUAGAGAUCUAUGGAUUAUGUCCAAUCAUUUUGCUCAAAUUGCCAAACAAAAGGACAUCGUCAAUGUGACCAUCCGCAAGGGAAAAGGAGAUAUGGAAAAGAAUGGGAAACAAAAGGGAAGAGAUUCGUGAAUGUGUUCUACCCACGUACUUGAUGAGAAGAAUUAGUUUUAAUUUCAUGUUCGUGUAAUAAGAACUAGACUCCAAGAAUAUUUGAUGUUUUGUGUGUUUUUGAUGUUGACAUUGUAAUCGUUGAUGGAUUUAAUGUAAUGAAUUUGUGUUGUUGAAAUGUGAAUUGGUACCCAG